rnacentral:lncRNA from 10 species
GUAUACUGGGCCCAGCCAGAUUCUCUGGGUGCUUUCUUCUUUCUUAGUUCCCCCUUUAUUGUGGGCCCUCCUCAGUGCCAACAUUGCUUUGUCUCUCGCUGGAGAAGCCUGUGAGAACGAGGAUGGGCAAAGUGUCAGGCUCUUGGUGCAGCUGAAAAUCCUUUGAGAUGGAAGAAAUGGCUGGAACAAAGGGGCAGAGGAACAAAAAGCCCUGAACUGCUUCGCCCCUGCCUCGUGGGGUCUUUAUCAUCUUAAACCUUGGGAUUUGGGCUUUGAUCAACUCGGCCUUCCUGGGCCUCGGGGAGAGAGACGGACUGCCUCCGGGUGCUCAUGACCUUUCCAGCAGUAAGCCAAUAAUGUAUGACUCCUGCGUUGCCGUUGCUCGUUUGAGGAACAUCUGUCCAGUCCCUGGGAUGGUGAGGCUAUAACCACAAAGGAAUAAGAGAAGACGACUAGUUUUGUAAUGGGGACAUUGGCUGCUGUCUUCUGACCCACCCUGUGUGGCUUUGGCGUCUCCUGUGACCUCCCAGUAUGGGUCUUGGCCUCAUCCUGCCUCUUUGUCUUUCUGGCCCACCACCCACAGCUUGAAUCUCAGGCUCCAACAGUUGCCUGACCCCCAGAUUCUGAUGACAGCCUACCUACUUGUUCUUCAGGCCCUCACCAGACUCACUGCCCAGACACACCACACAGGAGAACAUGAAAGGCUUUGAAUGAUGCAUUGGCCCACGUGGACCACCUUCCAUUUCCCAAGACUUUUUGAAGGCAAUGAAUGAGAAGAAAGCAGAGAAAACAGUGGGCGUGAGGUCAGAUGACUCAGGCUUGAGUACUGAUCACAUCAAGGAUUGGACGCACUGCUCUUAGGAAGGCACAACUUCUACUACUUUCAGUCUUAUCAACUGUGAGAGUGUACCCUUGCUGUAGAUGCCACCCGCCCAGCAGUCCUCAUCAUCUUGGCCCAGGAUCACCUGAAACAGAUGAUCCUCCUUUUGAGCUACCAUCAGAAGGUCCACAGUACUAGCCCAGCGCUACAUCCCAAUGCCUACGCCAUUCAUCUCACCUCAUCUCAUCACGUAGACAUUUCAUCAUGUCACAUCAUCACAAGAAGG